GCGGAGUCGCCGGCGGCGCCGCGGUUUGUUGACAUUGCUAGGCAACCGCCGCGGCGCUGCUAGGGCAACGCCGGACGACUGUUCCAGCCUUAAAGGCGCAGGAGCCGGUCCUGGGUCCCGCGAGGAGACCCGGGAGCUGCAGGCAGAGAAAAACAGUUCUUCACAGACCGCGGGGACAGUCAGUGAGUCUGGAGGCUGGGUUAGGAGCAAGCGCGCUCUCGAAGCGGAAAGAGAACACCAGGCCGCAGCUGUAGAUAUUUCAACUCAAGUAUUUGAGGUCUCGGUGUUUGUUGAUGGCAUCUGUGGGCAGGUUCGCUCGCAGCAGGUGCGCAAGGCAUGUACGUGGCGGUGAGGAAAAGAACAACAAAAAACUGGAUUCCAGUACCCGCUCUGUGACUUUGACCUAAUUGAACCCAGCUCACCAGGCCUGCCCUAAAGGUGCCUUUGCCCACUAAGCCACCUCACAGGCUCCGAUAAUGACGCCGUGGGGACCGGAUGAACACCAUCUGACACAAUGGUGACUGCCGCUCUCCGCUAAGAACUUGCCGGGAAUGUGGCCAUCAGCAAAUUCUGCAGCUCGAAGUUCAGACGCCUUCAGAGUCUUUUCUUUCUUCUCUUCUGUCUUCCUCAUCAGUGUGUGACGGGGUCUUUGCCAUGUCACCCCGUGUGGCACUCUUCCCUCUGCCUCCCAAGUGCUGGAGUCACAGAUGCUCACCACCAUGCCUGACAACCUGGGGAUGCUGAUCUCUGUUACCACCUAGUCCAAGAUGACAGAAUCGCUGUGUGGACCUUUGCUCUCCCUCGCUGGUCUCUUUGCCUCCACCCUGCAGUUGCCUGUACACAUAUAGCCAGCUGGUCCCAUUAAAACCCACAACCAGAC